rnacentral:lncRNA from 1 species
GGCUAGCCUGAUAUAACCCUCCAUCCUUUUCAAACAUGCCCUCUGGCCUGUCUCCCCCACUGUUUAUGGGUGUCCAAGGCAACCUCCUUCCUGCCACUACACUCCUCCUUCCGAAAUGUAAAGAGAAUCCUUUCGCUCUUUAUUGGCUGCCACUGUGGGGGGAAAGAAGAGGAAGAAAUGUGAUUUGCACGCAAGAUGACAGCUGUGUUCAGAGGUAUCCUAUAAAUGAAAAGGAGAGAAGGAGGGAAAUUUGAAAAUAAUUUUGGAGAAACAGGACAAUGAGCCUUGCGAGAACAAGCAGCAAAACUCAGCUGAUAAGGACACAGGGUUGCAACUGGAGGAAGCCAAGCCUGGAGCAGCCAAAGCGUCUGGUCUACAAAAAGGCAGGUUUUCUCCCCUUAACAAGCAAAAAAGUGUUGGGAGGGAGUAGAGGUGAAGACUGGAACAAUCACAGCUUCUAGAGGUAGUCCUACCGUGAUGCAGCCGCUUGAGGUGGUGGGUUUGGGGGUACUGUUAAGGAUAAAUAGGAGACAGACAGAUGGGCCAAAAGGAACCCCUGUGGGAGGUUCUCCUGCACAACCCCUGUUGCAAUACGCCUGAGUCAAACAAGAGAAAGGCAGGGAUUGUGCAUAGCUCUAGCUCUCUCUCUCUCUCUCUGCAUUGCUCAGGAGAACUCUUUCUGGAUUGUGCCCCAUGUUGAUUAGUGGCAGGGGAGGGAAUAAUUGGAUUUUUGGAUCAACAGACUAAAAUGUUGUGCAUGAGUCCAGCUGAUUGCUCCCCUUUCUCUCCCCCUCCCCAUUAUCCUUGUCCAGCUUGACAAACGGUAGUUCCUCUACUAAUGCAAAAAUUCCUCACACACAGAUCAUCAAACCACUAAUGGAGAAGAAACGAAGGAACCGAAUUGCUCAUUCUCUCAAUCAGCUAAAGGCUCUAUUGCUAGAUGGGUCCAAUCCAGGCAACAAGGCUCUUUCUAAUUCUCGCAUGGACAAGGCAGCUCUUUUGGAAAUGACUGUAAAGCGGAUCCAAACGUUGCAGUUAGCAGCGGCCUUCAUCUCAGACAGACAGCAGUAUCAGGAGACUCCGAAUCAACUGGCCUCUGCAUCCAGCUCCAUUUGUGAGACCACCACCCUGGCAAUCCCUCUGCCAGCACCUAACCUGGGAAGUAUUUCCAUCUGGAGUGGGAAACACCUGACUUCUGCCACCCUUCACUGUUCUGGAAGGUCUGUUCCUUCUGUGGUCCUCAGCAAAACAGGGUCUCAGGUGUUCUGGAGACCUUGGUCUACAUGAAUGUCUUCUUAUUCAUGCAUGGGUAUGUGAAAAGAACCUUGCCUGUACUGGAGCCUCUAAUUUAUUUCUCAGUGGAUAAAUGUUUUCAGGAAAUCCGUUCCUGCCUAUGGUGGGAUGUAUUUAGCCUCUUGUUCUUGCUGUGUCUCUUGUCUUAACCUCCACAUGCAAGCUGAUUUUCUUCAGAUACUGCUGUUUCAUACUGUGCUUAGUAUUGCUCAUGUAUUUUAAAUAAAAAUAUUUACAGAAAAACA